GUGUACAUGUAAACAGUUAGAAGUUGAAGUGCAUUAGAAGUUGAAGUGUGCGCACGCACACUGUACGUGUUUCACUUCACUAAUGCAUGGUUGACUUCAACUUCUGCUGCCACCAACCGUACUACGCGCCACCAUAAUUUAAGCGCCACGUCAGCAUCAACAUAAUUUUUUAGGUCCUAAAAUAAGCGCCGACUGUUCUGGAAUUAUUUUUUCUGGAAAGACUACAGCCAUCUUUGACCCUUCACACUUCUCUACAGUCAAUCUACAAAUUCUAUACUAGCUACACAGUCUGCGACAGGUCAAAAGCACUCUCCUCCUGUGAAGGUGAGUACCGUAAAUUAUUAUGGGCUUUAUUUUUUAGCUGAGCUCAAUGACCCUAGAUUGUAGCCAUUAUUCGUGUUUACCUUGUGGUUCAGUGGUUCAGUAUCCAGGAAGAACUGUCAUUUAGAGCGUCUGGACGACCAACGAGGGAGCUGGCCGAUCAUCUCAGUAAGAUCGGCUACAAAAUGGGUCAACUGGUAAUAAUUCAUGUCUCACCUAAUGUUUAUUGUCACGGCUCAGUUGCACUCUACCAAAUCACUCUAGUAGACGAUGUGUUUACUGGUUGUCUGACUCUACGACUCUACGCAGUUACAUGUGCUGUGUAUUGUGAUGAGCAACUAGCCCCAUAGCAUCGACCUGUUGCCUUCCGUUCUACAGCUAAGUGGGUAGCAAGCCCGGCAUACAUCCAGUUUGAAGGCCACUGGGGACCCCAUACCAGCCAUUUCCGAUUGGGAGCAGAGCAACGAUAUCGAAACAGAAAUAGAAAGUGAAUGACCUCACGACACACUUCAACUUCAAACUACCACCCAGUUCUCUCACAUCCAGACUUAUAUCACCCCAGACAUCACCCUCUCUCUCUCACCCCCAGACAUCACCCUCCGACCCGAUGAAUGGAAAACUGAUAGCAGAUGUAGUGGAGUGGGUGACAGAAAAGAUACGUUUAUUUUGAAAAGAUACAACAUUUGUUUUAUGAAUCACAGUAUAAUGAAUUUAGUUCACAAGCACCACAAUUUUUAGCACACACAUCACAACUAUCACCACGAAUGAUUUGUUUUAUGAAUCACAGUAUAAUGAAUUUAGAGUGAUUUUGUGCACCACAAGGACAAUUUUUAGCACACACAUCACAACUUAGGUGUCCAAUAUCACCACGAAUGUACUCAUCCAUUUCUUCAAAUAGAGUUCAUUGUUGAUACAAUGAGUUAGACUGGCGGCAACAGCCCCUCGCGUGCGCGAGCGACUGGCAAACUCCCUAUUAUCAGAUUGCUGCGAAUCACUUGUAAACAAUCUGUAACAACUUAGACUAGGUCAGGAACGCCAACAAAUUCUUCUUUCAAUUCUUUCUGAAAAUGUUUCCAUGGAAACAUAAGAUGGUGGGUUUGUGGUGAUUAAUAGAACAACAGCAAAUUGUUAUAGUGGGUAAUCGGUUAGAGUAAUAAAACACUAACCUUAAACAGCUAAGGUCUUAGACUUUUAUCACACAAUAGUUUAAUGGUUUAGGUAUCCUGACCAUCCCUUUAUGGGUCUUACAUAUGCUCACAGUGUCUAUAAUUCAUGAUUUACCGGUUUUUAGGUACACUUUUGGUUUGAGUAAUAUCUUCUGAAAAUUUUAUAGCUUAGCUUUAAAAGUUCUCUGGUAAGUUUACAAAUAAAUGGGCUACAUUUUGAUACCAAGAACAUCCUCUAUGCUUAUUCCAUUGUUGAGAUAUCACUGAAAAACUACAUAUUCUACUAUUUUCUACUGUU